rnacentral:rRNA from 1 species
GUGGGGAAUCUUCCGCAAUGGACGAAAGUCUGACGGAGCGACGCCGCGUGAGUGAAGAAGGCCUUCGGGUCGUAAAGCUCUGUCAUCAGGGACGAACGGCCGGUGGAGUGGAAAGCCACCGGAUUGACGGUACCUGAGAAGGAAGCCACGGCUAACUACGUGCCAGCAGCCGCGGUAAUACGUAGGUGGCAAGCGUUGUCCGGAAUUAUUGGGCGUAAAGCGCGCGCAGGUGGGAUCUUAAGUCCAUUUUGAAAGUUCGGAGCUCAACUCCGUGAUGGGAUGGAAACUGGGAUUCUUGAGUACCGGAGAGGAAAGCGGAAUUCCCCGUGUAGCGGUGAAAUGCGUAGAUAUGGGGAGGAACACCAGUGGCGAAGGCGGCUUUCUGGACGGUGUCUGACACUGAGGCGCGAAAGCCAGGGGAGCGAACGGGAUUAGAUACCCGAGUAGUCC